GGGGGUAUAACUCAGUGGUAGAGUGCUCGCUUUGCAUGCGAGAAGUUUGGGGUUCGAUCCCCCAUUCCUCCA
rfam:Caenorhabditis brenneri strain PB2801 C_brenneri-6.0.1_Cont1.40, whole genome shotgun sequence.